CUGCUCCUCCACCUCCCGCUCCUGCUCGCAAGCUCGCACUCUAGCGCCGGCUCCGGCUCCUCCCGGCCGCUCGGGGCCGAGGCGACGCGAGGUUGUAGGAAUCCAUGUGGGGCGGCCCCGGGCGAGCACCCGAAAGAUCUCUGAUUGGAGUAAUUUUCUGGUACAGUCUAUGAGUGGGAUGCAGUGAAAAUUCUGGCCAACAGUGAAAAUUUUGGCUUUAUCCUCAACUUAGUAUAGCAUUUCUUCUCUUCAGUUGCACCUCGUAAUAGAAGAAAAAUGUAUGGAAGUGCAAGAACAAUCACCAAUCUGGAAGGAAGCCCUUCCAGAUCUCCUCGUUUGCCAAGGUCUCCUCGUUUGGGCCACCGAAGAACAAGUAGUGGGGGAGGUGGAGGGGCGGGCAAGACUCUGUCCAUGGAGAAUAUUCAGUCCCUUAAUGCAGCCUAUGCUACGUCUGGACCCAUGUACCUGAGUGAUCAUGAGGGAGUGGCUUCGACAACUUACCCAAAGGGCACCAUGACUCUGGGAAGGGCCACAAAUAGAGCUGUGUAUGGAGGUCGCGUCACAGCCAUGGGGAGUAGUCCCAAUAUUGCUUCUGCUGGACUUUCCCACACAGAUGUCCUUUCUUACACAGAUCAACAUGUAGGUCUGACCAGCUCAUCCCAUCACCACCACCACCAGGUCCCCUCCAUGUUGAGGCAGGUAAGGGAUAGCACAAUGUUAGACUUUCAGGCCCAGCUCAAGGAACUGCAGAGAGAGAAUGAACUCCUUCGGAAAGAGCUGGACAUCAAGGACAGCAAGUUGGGGUCUUCCAUGAACAGUAUCAAGACCUUCUGGAGUCCUGAGCUCAAGAAGGAGAGAGUCUUGAGGAAAGAAGAGGCAGCCCGGAUGUCUGUCCUCAAGGAGCAGAUGAGGGUUUCCCAUGAAGAAAAUCAGCACCUGCAGUUGACGAUCCAGGCCCUUCAGGAUGAGCUGCGAACCCAGAGAGACCUCAACCACCUCCUGCAGCAGGAGAGCGGCAACCGCGGCGCCGAGCACUUCACCAUCGAGCUGACCGAGGAGAACUUCCGGCGGCUGCAGGCUGAGCAUGACCGGCAGGCCAAGGAGCUGUUCCUGCUGAGGAAGACCCUGGAGGAGAUGGAGCUGAGGAUCGAAACGCAGAAACAGACCCUCAACGCCCGAGACGAGUCCAUUAAAAAGCUUCUGGAGAUGUUACAGAGUAAAGGCUUGCCAUCCAAGAGUCUGGAGGAAGACAACGAACGGACGCGGCGGGUGGCAGAGGCCGAGUCUCAAGUCAGCCACUUGGAGGUGAUCUUAGACCAGAAAGAGAAGGAAAACAUACAUCUGAGGGAGGAAUUGCACCGCAGAAGCCAACUUCAGCCGGAGCCAGCCAAGACGAAAGCUCUCCAGACUGUCAUUGAGAUGAAGGACACAAAAAUUGCUUCAUUGGAGCGAAACAUAAGGGAUCUUGAGGAUGAGAUCCAGAUGUUAAAAGCCAGUGGUGUGCUGAACACUGAGGACCGUGAAGAAGAGAUCAAACAAAUAGAGGUUUACAAAAGUCACUCCAAGUUCAUGAAAACUAAGAUUGAUCAGCUGAAGCAGGAACUUUCAAAGAAGGAAUCAGAACUUCUUGCCUUACAAACAAAGCUUGAAACCCUUAGCAAUCAAAAUUCAGAUUGCAAGCAACACAUUGAAGUGCUUAAAGAGUCGCUUACUGCCAAAGAACAGCGGGCUGCCAUUCUUCAAACCGAGGUAGAUGCGCUGAGAUUACGCCUGGAAGAGAAAGAAUCCUUUCUCAAUAAAAAAACCAAACAGCUGCAGGAUCUCACGGAAGAGAAGGGGACGCUGGCCGGGGAGAUUCGUGACAUGAAGGAUAUGUUAGAAGUGAAGGAAAGGAAGAUCAACGUUCUUCAGAAAAAGAUUGAAAACUUGCAAGAACAGCUUAGGGAUAAAGACAAACAGCUGACCAAUCUGAAGGACAGAGUGAAGUCCUUGCAGACAGAUUCCAGUAACACCGACACUGCCCUGGCGACGCUCGAGGAGGCCUUGUCAGAGAAGGAAAGAAUUAUUGAGCGCUUGAAAGAACAGCGGGAAAGAGAUGAUCGGGAAAGACUAGAAGAGAUAGAAUCUUUCCGAAAAGAGAACAAAGACCUGAAAGAGAAGGUCAAUGCUUUGCAAGCUGAGCUAACUGAGAAAGAGUCUAGUUUAAUUGAUCUCAAGGAGCACGCAUCUUCGUUAGCCUCGGCAGGGCUGAAAAGGGACUCGAAAUUAAAAUCUCUAGAAAUAGCCAUCGAACAAAAGAAAGAAGAAUGUAGCAAAUUGGAAGCGCAGUUGAAAAAGCAAGCUGAGCAGUUGUUCAAUCAGAUGUACAACCCAGCUCAUAACAUUGAAGAUGACUCCAGGAUGAACCCCGAGUUUGCAGACCGAAUAAAACAGCUUGAUAAAGAGGCGACUUACUAUCGCGACGAAUGUGGCAAGGCCCAAGCUGAAGUGGACAGGUUGCUGGAGAUCCUCAAGGAGGUGGAGAACGAAAAGAACGACAAGGACAAGAAGAUCGCGGAACUGGAGAGCCUGACUUUCAGGCAUAUGAAGGAUCAGAAUAAGAAGGUGGCCAACCUCAAGCACAACCAGCAGCUGGAAAAGAAGAAGAAUGCCCAGCUCCUGGAGGAAGUGCGCAGGCGGGAAGAUAGCAUGGCUGACACCUCCCAGCACCUGCAGAUAGAGGAGCUGAUGAAUGCCCUGGAGAAGACCAGGCAGGAGCUGGACGCCACCAAGGCACGCCUGGCCUCCACACAGCAGUCCCUGGCUGAGAAGGAAGCACACUUGGCCAACCUCCGAAUAGAGAGGAGGAAACAGCUGGAGGAGAUCCUGGAGAUGAAACAGGAAGCGCUGCUUGCGGCAAUCAGUGAGAAAGAUGCAAACAUCGCCCUGCUGGAACUGUCUGCCUCCAAAAAGAAAAAGACGCAGGAUGAAGUGAUGGCCCUCAAGCGGGAGAAAGACCGACUGGUGCACCAGCUAAAGCAGCAGACGCAGAACAGGAUGAAGCUGAUGGCAGACAACUAUGACGAGGAUCACCACUACCACCACCACCACCACCACCACCACCACCACCGGUCUCCUGGGAGGUCGCAGCAUUCCAAUCACAGGCCCUCUCCCGACCAGGAUGACGAGGAGGGCAUAUGGGCAUAGCCGGGCCUGUAAACCAAAGUUCCAGUUUUGUUUGAGGGAUGAUCCAGCUCUGUUGGAGGCACGGAGGCACAGUCCAAUCUCAUGCUGUACAUUGAUCACCUGUCCAACCUUUGCCUAGAGUGGGAGCCCCCAGUUCCUUCAAGAGAUCCACCUUUACCUGUCUUAAAGAAGAAGAGGAGGGAGCCAGCGGGAGGAGCCAUGGCAGUGUAACGCCAGAGCAGGUCCAGUGUUUACUUGUACCCUUUUGGAGCUAUCAGAAGGGCUGACUAAAGGGAAAUCGCAGCUCCGCAGCAAUAUCCUGAUAAUCCAUCGCCGUGCGGCUCACGCCCCCGUCCAUCACCAUGUGGAAUGCACGUCAGGACUGGAAAGGAGUCUCCCCUCCAUCGCCGAGCUCGGUUCCGUUCCGCCCGAUCUUCCCGUCAGCAUCCCAUGUCGUUCCAUAUGUUGGAAAGGAAGGAAGUGGCAGAGGAGGAAAAGGGUAGAUCCUCCAUUUUAUUAUUAUUAUUAUUAUUAUUAUGAUUAUUUUUAUUUUUUAUUUUUAUUUUUUGUCAGGAUUUGGGCAUUAACUAUGUGAUCAUCUCUUCUGAACAUCAUGAUUUGGUAACUUUUUAUUUGUUACGUCAACCUCAUUGGAUAAAUUUCAACUCCAUGGGAUCUUACUAACUGUGGAUGCAGCUUCUGUUGGACAACAAGCUUCAUCUCCAGCUCUUCUGCCUGUCCAGCCUGAGAGGUUGUUCGGAAUGCAUUAGGUUCUCAAAAAGGAUGAGUCCUGUGCGUGAGUGGUGUUGGCAGUGUUCGUAUCUCAAGGUGCAUGGAGUGUUUGACAAAGAAACCAAAACACCAAAAAAUGGUGAGCCUGUACCCUCCUCUCUUUCUUUAAUCUGCUGUUCGAAGAACCACAUUUUGAUGGUGUAAACCAGUAGUUACCUCUGGGCCAGGUUGGAAAUGAAAUCAAUUUUUUAAACCACUAAUACUUGCCAAGAAAUCGCCUUAUGAGAAUGUGGUGUGUGUCUCUGACAAUGCAUGGCGCAUCUAAACUGGUCAUUCAUGAUUUUAUCUGCCCUGUCGCCGUACUGGAGAGUGGCAAAAGCCUGAGGCACCCGCACAUUUCUGUGCGGUGG